rnacentral:lncRNA from 1 species
UUCUGAACUAUUCUCCUUUGGGGAUUUCCUGCCUCUUGGAUACCCUUAAGAGAAAAUAGUGUUACUCUAGUGGUUGCUCUCUGUCCCAGGCUUAGUAUAGUAUAAAAUAGAGUAUGAAAAGGGAUUAAGGGGAGGAGUUUCUGGUGGUAAUUGGUUGGCUUUCAAGAGACUUUCAGUUUAUCCUGGGUAGAAUGAUUAUGAUAUCAGAGUUGGUUAGCCAAUCAAAGCUCCUAGUCACAGUCCUUGGUGACUAAAAUACAACAGUGAGAAACUCCAGCCUGGGUUAUGUAGCCCUGAGAGAAGAGUUUCCUCUGGGUGGCAGUGGUAAUUUUCCAUCUGUUUUAAAAUGAUAUUCCAAAUUGUUCAAGAGGAUGAAGGAAACAGUUUUCCCUUUAUGGCUUUAAUUCUAUUAUAUUUUUCAAAAUUCCCCCUCCUCAUAUCUCUUCCCCUCCCCCAUUGAGCUAUGUUAUUGAAAAAGCAAAUUUGAUGGAAGGGGUUAGGAGGCAGUGGUUAGAAUUAGCAUAUCAAACACACCCAAUAACCAGAAUGGAAAUUAGUGGAAUCUAGGCUUUACUGCUCUGAUGGCUGCACUAAAUUGAGGUUAAUGUCACCCCAUCAGUCCUUUCUGGAUUAAACAAAGAAUGGAGUCACAGAGAAGGGUUGUUGGAGAAAAGGAUGGAACUGGACCUGUGACAUUCGUCUGAGGACCUCCUUUACAGAGGCAUAAGAAAGUUUCUGAGAGUUCUGAAAAUACUUAAGGAUUUUCCAUUGCCUAUAUCAGACCCACCCUCUUCAUUGUCCUUCAUGAGACUGAACUCAAUAUUAAGCCCAGUAGAGGUUUUCAUGGAUGAAAAGGAGAUGACAACAUACCAGGCUUCAUCAGUUAUUUCCACCUCAGUGGACAUCAAGUUGAAAAAGGAUAAAGAAUGGAGAAAGAAAGAAGAAAGUGAUUUGGACAUCCUUCCACCACCAAUUCCCAACAGAAGUGUCAGUUGGAGAAGACAGCCAAGCAACUGACAAGAUCACGUCACACCUCCUGGUGCCCUGGAUCUGGACAGUGCUCAGUGGGGUCAAGACCAGGGCCAUCCAAGCCUGAAUCUCUCAGGGGCCCAAGGGAGGUAAGGCUAGCUAGAAUAAGGACACCAUUUUUCCCUCCUUCCUCACAAAAACCCUUCCCACAGUCAUUUCGUUGUGUUAUUCCCAAAUUGAUUCAGUUAGAAUAAAGUUUGUCGUUUUCCCCA